rnacentral:rRNA from 1 species
AACGAACGCUGGCGGCAGGCCUAACACAUGCAAGUCGAACGCCCUAGCAAUAGGGAGUGGCAGACGGGUGAGUAACGCGUGGGAACCUUCCUUAUGGUGCGGAAUAACUCGCCGAAAGGCGUGCUAAUACCGCAUAAGCCCGCAAGGGGAAAGAUUUAUCGCCAUAAGAUGGGCCCGCGUAGGAUUAGCUAGUUGGCGGGGUAACGGCCCACCAAGGCUACGAUCCUUAGCUGGUUUGAGAGAANGACCAGCCACACUGGGACUGAGACACGGCCCAGACUCCUACGGGAGGCAGCAGUGGGGAAUCUUGGACAAUGGGCGCAAGCCUGAUCCAGCCAUGCCGCGUGAGUGACGAAGGCCUUCGGGUUGUAAACU